AUGCGCCCGGCGGGGAUUUCUGUGCUGCGCCUCAGCAUUCUCCCUCUCUCCCUCUGCCUCCUUCCUCUCUGCUCAGCGCGCUCGCUCUCACCUCCGCACCACUUUCCUUCGCGCAUUUCGCCGGCGACCAUGGCCAAGGAGAAGACGGCGGCGCUGGAGCGUGCCAAGAAGGCGUCGGCAUCGGAGAAGGCGAAGGGGAGAUCCACCACCCGCAGGGGGUCCUCGUCCAGAUCCCGCCUGCCGAAAGGCUGGGUCCAAGGAGACUGGAUCCAGUCGACCAUCACGGAGAAGGACCUCCUCGACAUGGCCAACGAGGGCUUGAUCCCUCACGGAGCUGCGAGGUUGCCGGGGAAGGAGUGGCAGCCACAACCAGAAGAGGGUGAGUGCGUGCUCCUGGCCACUCAUGUUGACCGAGGGUUUUCCUUGCCACCCAGCAUUUUCUUUCGUGGCUUCUUGAAUUUCUUUGGAGCGCAGCUCCACCACUUUACCCCAAACUCCAUUGCCUAUCUUGCUGCAUUCGUGUCCAUGUGUGAGGGUUUCUUGGGCUGCCGACCGCACUGGGGUUUGUUCAAACGCAUCUUCACGUGUCGCUCUCAGACCGUGAAGAAGGCUAGCCCAGGUGACGAGAAGACCCGAGUCGUCCAAAUGUGUGGGGGCCUGGGGAUUCAGGUGAGGAACAAUAGUACCUUCCCGCCCAUGAGCUUUCCCGAGUCCGUCAGAGGCUGGCAGUCGACUUGGUUCUACUGCCAGGUCCAGUCGACGCCAGGGCAGUCGAGUGGACUCCCUCCGUUUACCAUGGACCGAGUGAACAAGCCCUCCCCUCUGAAGCUGAUUCCGGAGGAGAAAGCCGAUGUGAAGAUGUUGAUGGAGCGCGUGGUGCAGUUGGUUCGGGAGGGGGUGACGGGCAUGGAUCUUCUGGAGGUCUUCCUCAGGCGUCGCAUCCAACCCCUUCAAUUCCGGAGCCACUGCAUGUGGUUGUACUGUGGGCCCGAAGACGAAACUAGAGUCCAUCCAGAAGAAGUCGACGAUGUCACUCUGGAAAGAUGGAUGGUAGCCGUUACCGGGAACAGGGACAACCCGCGCGGAGCCAGAAGGAUUCCUCCACUCGACCGCAACAGCAACCCAAACAAGGCCCUCACUGAACUGUACUCGAUGCCCAAUGGGGCACAAGCCUCGGCUGAGGAAGGCGAGGCGAGCGGGGGCGAGGCGAGCGGGGGCGAGGCGAGCGGGGGCGAGAGCCAGGAAGAGGAGGAGUGGGAUUCGGAUGCUGCAGGGGAUGAUGACGACGAUGAUGAUGACGAAGGUGAUGAAGAUGACCUCGAGGACGAGGAAGAAGAGGAGGAGGAGGUCGUUCCACCGCGCUCAGAAAAGCGGUCGAAGCUUGUCCACGAUCCUUCGACUGAACGUGGUAAGGGGGUUGGGACCGCAAUUCAGUCGACCAAGCGCCCUCGGACCACCUCUCCGGCGCCAACUGAAAAGGCGCCGAAGCAGCCCAGGGCGGCCUCAUCGAAGCCGACCAAGCUCUUGCCGAAGAUGAAGGUGUCCAUCCCCACCAUAUCAGGUGCUGCUACCUCUGAGACUUCGGCCCGGGCCGAAGACCACGAGAUGGAGGAUGCGGCAACUUCGAACCCAGUUCCGCCCCAUACUGUUAUCGAUCUUCCUGACGACGACGAGGAUGAAGAACCACUGGCACGCAGGAAGAGUCGGAAAACGCCCGCCAGUAAGGUGCCUCAGGACGUGACGGCGCCUGAGACUCUGACUGUGGAGGAAGAGAACACCACUCGACACACAGUGUCCUUCACGAAUCCACUGUCGAGUGCUCAGCAGCCUUCCCUCUUCACGACUCACCACGUCCCAGAGGACCAAGCUGGUGCAGCGAAGGAGGCAAUACGCCAGGCGGGGCUCAUGAUGGAGCAGCUGAAGACCAUCCGGGAUGCGAGCCAGGCAGCUUAUGACGCCAGCUCUGCCCUCCAAAGCAAUGUCCAGAACUCCUGUGAUCUUGUGGCUCGCUACUCAGAGCUGGAACAGAAGCAUACUCAAGUCGAGCUGAGCUUGAAGCUGGUUCAGGAGAAGCUGGCGAAGGCAAAGGAGGAGACCGAAGGUAAGGUAAGGGAGGCCCAGCAGAAGAAAGACCUUGAACUAGCUGAGAAGAUCAAGCUUGCUGACGAGAAGUUGGCUUCAGUCACCAAGCUCGAACAAGACAAUACCAAUCUGAAAACUGCUCUUGGGAUUGCCAACAAGGAGGUCAGUCGACUGAGAACUGACAAAGCUGCCCUGACCGACCAAGUCAGCAAAUUGACUGAGAAGAAAACUGAACUGGAAACCUUCCUGAGUGGCCUUGCCAAGAAGCUGUUUCUUAUGCUUGAAGAAUUUUGUCAAAACUUUGAAGAAGAAACCAGCCGACUGGAGCCAAACCUUGACCCCGUCAAUUCUCCGGUGAACGACGAAGUUGCCAUGGAUGUCUUCCGACUGGAGUCGCGUGUUGCAGCUGUCGUGGACUAUCUUGCAAGGCUGAAGGCCGCCACAUCUCGCAUCGACUCGACGCUCUGGCCUGAGGAGACACUUCAGAAUGACCUUGAGUCGCUGAUGGCCCGCUUGAACACGAUCCCUGGUCGAGUGCAAGAGUGGAAGAAGUCCUCGGCUCGGUGUGGUGCAGAUGUCGCUCUGUGUCUGGCCCGAGUCCACUGCAAAGAUGCACGAGAGGAGAAGCUGGCGGCCCUUCGGGUGGCCAAUACCAAGAAGCACGACUUUAGGUCCUUUAUGGAGACUUUCCUUGCAGCUGCCACUCGGAUCGCCGACGGAAUUGACCUUGAUGAAUUCGUUGCACCUUCCAGCCCUCCGCAGGAGGGGUAA
rnacentral:rRNA from 1 species